rnacentral:rRNA from 1 species
AACCAGCACCUCAAGUGGUCAGGAUGAUUAUUGGGCCUAAAGCAUCCGUAGCCGGCUCUGUUAGUUUUCGGUUAAAUCCAUAUGCUCAACAUAUGGGCUGUCGGAAAUACUGCAGAGCUAGGGAAUGGGAGAGGUAGACGGUACUCGGUAGGAAGGGGUAAAAUCCUUUGAUCUAUUGAUGACCACCUGUGGCGAAGGCGGUCUACCAGAACAUGUUCGACGGUGAGGGAUGAAAGCUGGGGGAGCAAACCGG